AGAGUUUGAUCCUGGCUCAGGANGAACGCUGGCGGCGUGCCUAACACAUGCAAGUCGAACGCGCUCCAUCCGGUAGCAAUACUGAUGAAGAGUGAGUGGCGAACGGGUGAGUAGCACGUGAGCAACCUGCCCCGAAGACUGGGACAACACCGGGAAACCGGUGCUAAUACCGGAUACCCUUAUUGGACCGCAUGAUUCGAUAAGGAAAUGGAUUCCGCUUCGGGAGGGGCUCGCGGCCUAUCAGCUUGUUGGUGGGGUAAUGGCCUACCAAGGCUUCGACGGGUAGCUGGUCUGAGAGGACGAUCAGCCACACUGGGACUGAGACACGGCCCAGACUCCUACGGGAGGCAGCAGUGGGGAAUCUUGCGCAAUGGGCGAAAGCCUGACGCAGCAACGCCGCGUGGAGGACGAAUGCUUUCUGAGUUGUAAACUCCUUUCAGCAGGGACGAUAGUGACGGUACCUGCAGAAGAAGCACCGGCCAACUACGUGCCAGCAGCCGCGGUGAUACGUAGGGUGCAAGCGUUGUCCGGAUUUAUUGGGCGUAAAGGGCUCGUAGGCGGUUUGAUAAGUCGGGUGUGAAACCUCCAGGCUCAACCUGGAGCCGCCACUCGAUACUGUCAUGACUAGAAUUCGGUAGGGGACCACGGAAUUCCUGGUGUAGCGGUGAAAUGCGCAGAUAUCAGGAGGGACACCAGCAGCGAAGGCGGUGGUCUGGGCCGAAAUUGACGCUGNNNAGCGAAAGCGNNNNNAGCGAACAGGAUUAGAUACCCUGGUAGUCCACGCCGUAAACGUUGGGCACU
rnacentral:rRNA from 1 species